rnacentral:rRNA from 1 species
UAUUGGUCAAUGGGCUUACGCCUGAACCAGCCAAGUCGCGUGAGGGAAGACUGCCCUAUGGGUUGUAAACCUCUUUUGUCAGGGAGCAACGCCGGCUACGUGUAGCCGGACUGAGAGUACCUGAAGAAAAAGCAUCGGCUAACUCCGUGCCAGCAGCCGCGGUAAUACGGAGGAUGCGAGCGUUAUCCGGAUUUAUUGGGUUUAAAGGGUGCGUAGGCGGGAGAUCAAGGCAGCGGUAAAAAUGCGGGGCCCAACCCCGUCGAGCCGUUGAAACUGGUUUUCUUGAGUGGGCGAGAGGUAUGCGGAAUGCGUGGUGUAGCGGUGAAAUGCAUAGAUAUCACGCAGAACCCCGAUUGCGAAGGCAGCAUACCGGCGCCCAACUGACGCUGAGGCACGAAAGCGUGGGUAUCG